rnacentral:tRNA from 1 species
GGGGAUUUGGCUCAGUGGUAGAGCGCUUGCCUAGGGAGCGCAAGGCCCUGGGUUCGGUCCCCAGCUCCG